rnacentral:lncRNA from 1 species
GUUAUCUAGGUUACUAUGGGUUAUAUGUAGGUGACUAUGGAUUCAUUAUGUAGGUUACUAUGGAUUCAUUAUGUAGGUUACUAUGGAUUCAUUCUGUAGGUUGCUAUGGGUUCAUUAUGUAGGUUACUAUGGGUUUAUUAUGUAG